rnacentral:rRNA from 1 species
UAUACUCCAUAGUUCGUUAUUACUGGAAUGUUUUUCGAACGAAAGAUCCGUCGCUUCAGGAUGAGUCUGCGGCCGAUUAGGUAGUUGUUGGGGUAAUUGCCCAACAAGCCUGUAAUCGGUACGGGUUGUGGGAGCAAGAGCCCGGAGAUGGAUUCUGAGACACGAAUCCAGGCCCUACGGGGCGCAGCAGGCGCGAAAACUUUACCAUGCGGGCAACCGUGAUAAGGAAACCCCGAGUGCCAGCACAGGCUGGCUGUCCGCCAGUUUAAACAACUGGCGAAGAAAGGGCCGGGCAAGACCGGUGCCAGCCGCCGCGGUAAUACCGGCGGCUCGAGUGGUGGCCGCUAUUACUGGGCUUAAAGGGUCCGUAGCUUGAUAAUAGGGUCCCUUGAGAAAUCCGCCGGCUUAACUGGCGGGCGUUCAGGGGAAACUUGUUUUCUAGGGACCGGGAGAGGUGAGGGGUACUGCCGGGGUAGGAGUGAAAUCCUGUAAUCCCGGUGGGACCACCUAUGGCGAAGGCAUCUCACCAGAACGGGUCCGACAGUGAGGGACGAAAGCUGGGGGAGCAAACCGGAUUAGAUACCCGGGUAGUCCCAGCUGUAAACUAUGUGCGUUAGGUGUGU